AAACUACUCCCUCUGUCCCAAAUUUCUUGUCUUAGAUUUGUCUAGAUACGGAUGUAUCUAAUACUAAAAUGUGACUUGAUACAUCCGUAUCUAGACAAAUAUAAGACAAGAAUUUUGGGACGGAGGGAGUACUUU
rnacentral:pre_miRNA from 1 species